GACGAACGCUGGCGGCGUGCCUAAUACAUGCAAGUAGAACGCUGAAGGAGGAGCUUGCUUCUCUGGAUGAGUUGCGAACGGGUGAGUAACGCGUAGGUAACCUGCCUGGUAGCGGGGGAUAACUAUUGGAAACGAUAGCUAAUACCGCAUAAGAGUAGAUGUUGCAUGACAUUUGCUUAAAAGGUGCAAUUGCAUCACUACCAGAUGGACCUGCGUUGUAUUAGCUAGUUGGUGGGGUAACGGCUUACCAAGGCGACGAUACAUAGCCGACCUGAGAGGGGGAUCGGCCACACUGGGACUGAGACACGGCCCAGACUCCUACGGGAGGCAGCAGUAGGGAAUCUUCGGCAAUGGACGGAAGUCUGACCGAGCAACGCCGCGUGAGGGAAGAAGGUUUUCGGAUCGUAAAGCUCUGUUGUAAGAGAAGAACGAGUGUGAGAGUGGAAAGUUCACACUGUGACGGUAUCUUACCAGAAAGGGACGGCUAACUACGUG
rnacentral:rRNA from 1 species